rnacentral:tRNA from 1 species
AUAGAUAUGGUGUAAUAAACACAAUAAAUUGUAAAUUUAGGGAUAUGUAAUAAUUACUAUU